rnacentral:rRNA from 1 species
UAGGGAAUCUUCCACAAUGGACGCAAGUCUGAUGGAGCAACGCCGCGUGAGUGAAGAAGGUUUUCGGACCGUAAAGCUCUGUUGUUGGUGAAGAAGGAUAGAGGUAGUAACUGGCCUUUAUUUGACGGUAAUCAACCAGAAAGUCACGGCUAACUACGUGCCAGCAGCCGCGGUAAUACGUAGGUGGCAAGCGUUGUCCGGAUUUAUUGGGCGUAAAGCGAGCGCAGGCGGAAGAAUAAGUCUGAUGUGAAAGCCCUCGGCUUAACCGAGGAAUUGCAUCGGAAACUGUUUUCUUGAGUGCAGAAGAGGAGAGUAGAACUCCAUGUGUAGCGGUGGAAUGCGUAGAUAUAUGGAAGAAUACCGGUGGCGAAGGCGGCUCUCUGGUCUGCAACUGACGCUGAGGCUCGAAAGCAUGGGUAGCGAACAGGAUUAGAUACCCUGGUAGUCCAUGCCGUAAACGAUGAGUGCUAAGUGUUGGGAGGCUUCCGCCUCUCAGUGCUGCAGCUAACGCAUUAAGCACUCCGCCUGGGGGAGUACGACCGCA